rnacentral:rRNA from 1 species
AUGUUGCUGCGGUUAAAGGCUCGCAGUUGAAUGUCAGUUAUAAUACGCGUAGGAUUGCCGGGACGUUGUUUGGAGCCGGUGUCUUACGACUCGGUUUUCAUUCCGUUCCUUGAGCGCAUUCCUCGCAAUCUAACAAUGAGUGUGGUUGUCGCCUGUAGCCUUCGGGUUGCAAACGGACACCGCAUUCGACACCUUGAGUAAAUCAGAGUGCUUAAAGCAGUCGUUAUAAAACGGUCUGCCUUUACGGUUUUGUGCCUUUGCGGGUAUAAGACUAAUCGGUAUGUCUGUGACGGGACUCGCGUCCUGUUGAAGACAUUGUCUUUGCUUUGCAUGGUACGUCGGAAGACGCCCUGUGAGUUGGUCGCGCUUACGAUUUGUGCACUCACGCCGAGGGGCUCACGCCUCUCGUGUGCGCGUGCGCCAACAAGCAGGGAAUGAUACGAAAGGGAUGGCUCGAAGGCAUUGGUAUUGCGGGGCGAGAGGUGAAAUUCUAUGACCCCCGCAAGACUACCCGAAGCGAAAGCGUCUGCCUAGGACGUCUUCAUUAAUCAUGAACGAAAGUUGAAGGAUCGAAGGCGAUCAGAUACCGCCCUAGUUUUAACCGUAAACUAUACCAACCAUCAAUCCGUCGGAGCGUUCCCUUACUCCCGGCAGUGUGGGGCGUGGCUUUACUGUCGCGUUCUCAUGCUGUUGUGGACAAGUGUAAGCUCGAUGGGCAGUUCCUUUCGAACGGAAAACCAGAGUUUUUCGGUUCCGGGGGGAGUCUGGUUGCAAAGCUGAAACUUAAAGGAAUUGACGGAAAGGCACCACCAGGCGUGGAGCUUGCGGCUCAAUUUGACUCAACACGGGAAAUCUCACCAGACCCGAACAUCUUUGAUGACUGACAGACUGAAAGCUCUUUCUCGAUAAAGUGGAUGGUGGUGCAUGGCCGUUCUUAGUUGGUGGAGUGAUCUGUCUGGUUAAUUCCGAUAACGAACGAGACUCUCCCCUGCUAACGAACCUUUGUGUUCUUGUAGACAGUGUGAUUCGAAUCAAGAGUUUGACUGGUAACGGUCUUAUCUCGGACGUUGUCCACUGAUCCUUGUUGCGAAUGUGUUGCUCGCGCCGCAUGGCCGUGCGUGCCCUCGGGUGUCGCGUGGUGCGUGGGUGUGUGGCGGCUCAUCUCGUGGCUCGGAGUACGUUUCUUCUUAGAGGGAUUGACGACUCUAUAAGUCGUAAGAGACAGAGAGCAAUAACAGGUCUGUGAUGCCCUUAGAUGUUCUGGGCUGCACGCGUGUUACAAUGCCGGGAUCAACGGGUUAUUGCACUUUAUCGUGUCCUACUCUGAAAAGAGUGGGUAAACCUCUGAAAUCCCUUACACGUGUGUUAAGGUCUUUGAUUUUACCACACGUAUCACGGCUUGCUUGGGACUGGGGAUUGCAACUAUUCCCCACGAACGAGGAAUGCCUUGUAGUGGCGAGUCACAGAGCUCGCUGCGACUCUGUCCCUGCCCUUUGUACACACCGCCCGUCGCUACUACCGAUUGAGUGUACCAGUGAGAUUCUUGGACUGGCGAACCGAACGGCUAACCCCGCUCGGCGUACGACAGAAAGAGACUCGAACUGGUGCACUAGAGAA